GAAGCGCUCCACAUUCAAGGCCACCUUGGUGGGCUCCAAUCCCACCAAGCCAUAUUUGACACCCGUAUCAUCUCUGAAGAGUGCCAGGCUGCUGUGGGCGGUUUUUUCUUCCAGUUUGAAACUGACGCCUGCGGGCAGAGCAAAAAGACGGGAUAAUAACAGGGGCUAGAACCCUAGGGCUGGUGAUAUAUUCAGAUAUGAGGCAGGCAGCCAUGAUACACGAGCAACUAGGGAAGAGUCAGAAUGCCAAGCGGGCAAGAGAGUCGCGAGGUCGCUUUACUACGGAUAGCUCACGGAGCUGAAAAACUCGGAUUGAUUGCACCCUGCGGUGAGCGUGGGCCAGGCAACCACAGUGGAGAUCUUCCUGACGCUCCAGUUCGUGCUCUGCAUCUUUGCCACAUACGACGAGAGGCGGAAUGGCCAACUGGGCUCCGUGGCCCUGGCCGUUGGCUUCUCCCUUGCCCUGGGGCACCUCUUUGGGAUGUAUUAUACUGGUGCAGGCAUGAAUCCUGCCCGCUCCUUUGCUCCUGCCAUUCUCACUGGGAACUUCACUAACCACUGGGUGAGUGAAGGGAGAGGGGCAAGAUCCUGAAGCCCUUCUGGAUGGUUGUGGACUGCAGGUUCCAGGCUGGAUUCCUGCUUUCCUUCUGCGUGUGUUGGCUGCUGUACCAGCACUCAGCUAAGGGGGCUGUCAGAGAGUUUGGCAUGCCUGUGUGAGCAGGAUUCAUGAUUUUGCUAGAAGGAGAGGCUCUUGCUCAUAUUUUUCCUUCUCUGGUUAGUCAGGGAGUAUGCACUGAGUAUUCACUGGUUGCUGAACUAGCGGGUAUGAAGAGAGACAACUAAAUAUGAGCAGAAUAAAUUCUGCUCUCAGAGAUCAAGAUGUGUUGUGAGCACAGAUGGGCCUCAGCCCCAUUCCAGUUCUAAUACGUUAUCGGCUUUGUGUGUGACCAUGGGCAAAUAAUCACUCUGUGCUUCAGUUUGUUUUACUAUAAAAU
rnacentral:lncRNA from 10 species